UACGUAGGGUGCGAGCGUUGUCCGGAAUUAUUGGGCGUAAAGAGCUCGUAGGCGGUGUGUCACGUCGGCCGUGAAAACCUGCAGCUUAACUGUGGGCGUGCGGUCGAUACGGGCAUCACUGGAGUUCGGCAGGGGAGACUGGAAUUCCUGGUGUAGCGGUGGAAUGCGCAGAUAUCAGGAGGAACACCGGUGGCGAAGGCGGGGCUCUGGGCCGAUACUGACGCUGAGGAGCGAAAGCGUGGGGAGCAAACAGG
rnacentral:rRNA from 1 species